rnacentral:rRNA from 1 species
GUGCCAGCCGCCGCGGUAAAACGUAGGGGACGAGCGUUAUCCGGAUUUACUGGGCGUAAAGCGCAUGUAGGUGGCUUGAAAAGUUGGACGUGAAAGCUCCUGGCUUAACUGGGAGAGGUCGUACAAAACUAGCAAGCUUGAGGUUGGAAGAGGAGAGCAGAAUUCCCGGUGUAGUGGUGGAAUGCGUAGAUAUCGGGAGGAAUACCAGUGGCGAAAGCGGCUCUCUGGUUCAAUACUGACACUGAGAUGCGAAAGCGUGGGGAGCGAACGGGAUUAGAAACCCUGGUAGUCC